GGCGGUAGUGCAUUUUGUUUAUAAAUAAAUCUGUGCAUAUCUCAACAAUCCGAUUUGUGGACACUUAGUCAAUGCAAUAAAUAGUUCAAGUAGUGUUCAAAUUAACAUAAGAUAUAGAUAUUUUUCUGUGAAGUGUUUUUAAUUUCAUUAAACAACAGAAGCUUCAAUAAGCAAUUUAUUAUUUACUAAUGAUGAUUUAUUAGUCUCGUUCGUAUGAUCUUAUGAUUAUAUUAUAUAUCGGAAAGACUGAAACGUUCAAUAGUCAAAUAUAGUAAUGCUUUUUCAUUUUGUUCGUGUGCUAACCGCCUUCUUGGUUUUAGGUUAAGAAAGCACAUGUUGGCGAGAACUUCGUUUCUGUCUUGAAGUUACCUUGUUGCUUGAUCAUGGCGUAUUGUUUCUACAAGGAAAGAUGGAAAAAAUGGAAAAGAACAGUAUCGGUCGGUGAUUCGAUUUUUAUUUUUGGAAAUCAUGCAAUGAAGAGCAAUGAUGUUGAGAUAUAAAUGUAAUUAAUGAUAUGCCUCAAAUCAAGGUGAUGACAAACUUUGGAAGACUUUGCCAAGUUGCUGGAGAUGUAUCAAUCAAAUUCUUGGACAAACCUUGAGGAGGCCAUCUACUUAAAUGGAAUUCAAUUCUAAGGAAAUUCCUUGGACGUCGAUUUCUACUGCCAGUUUCUGAAAGGGAGUUCGACGUCUAUCUUGGAGAGGAUCAUUAUUUUGGCAAUAUUGAGAUGUUUCUGAAGAGUUACAUAGUCGAAGGCGACAUAUUAAAGCAAGAUUGCCAUAUUAUGGAUCAACAACUAUUUUCAAUGGGACAGCCCGGUUUCUGAUAUUACCUAGUGAUUUGUGGAGUCGCAUCUCUUCUGAAUGCUGCUGUUUCUAAUAUUACCUAAUGAUUUGUGGAAGGGCAUCUCUUUCGAAUGCUGCUGUUUCUAAUAAUUAUACAACUCUGGAAGACACUGAUGUAGUCUGCCAUAUUUCAGGUUUAACCGGGAAAUCAAAGUUGAAGAAACCAGGAAAAUUACUUCUGGGGCUUUCAUUAAUGAAAAUGUUCCGUCUCCUUAACCUGAAAUAAAUGAUUAAAAAGAA